rnacentral:lncRNA from 1 species
GGGUGUACUCUCGGAUGGUUCUGAGAUUGCUGUGAAGCAACUUUCAGCCAGAUCAAAACAGGGAAACCGUGAGUUUGUGACUGAAAUAGGAAUGAUAUCUGCUUUACAACAUCCAAAUCUCGUGAAGCUUUAUGGUUGUUGUAUUGAAGGCAAAGAGUUGUUGCUUGUAUACGAAUACCUCAUCAACAACAGUCUCGCACGUGCCCUUUUUGGUAAAUAACUAAAUACUUUUAAUAUUUUUCACUAUCCAUCUUGCAGUUUCCUGGUUGUUUUUAAACAAAAAAAAAAUGGGAAUUUUUUAUAGGUAAAGAGAACCAGAAGCUUAAUUUGGACUGGUCAACAAGAAAGAAGAUAUGUAUGGGAAUCGCAAAGGGAUUGGCUUAUUUACAUGAGGAAUCAAGAUUGAAAAUAGUUCAUAGAGACAUAAAGGCCACAAAUGUGCUUCUUGAUAAGGAUUUAAACGCUAAAAUAUCGGAUUUUGGUUUGGCAAAACUUGAUGAAGAAGAGGAUACUCAUAUCAGCACACGAAUUGCUGGAACAAUGUGAGACUACUUAUUAUCUUUUUUUAUUAUUAUUAUAUCAUUUAUCAUUUAAUUUCAUUAAAAAUGUGACAUAUUUUUAUGGUGUAAAUAUGUAGAGGGUAUAUGGCUCCGGAAUAUGCAAUGAGAGGAUACUUGACGGAUAAAGCAGAUGUUUACAGCUUUGGAGUUGUGUUGUUGGAGAUUGUGAGUGGGAAAAGCAACACAAAUUAUAGGCCAAAGGAAGAGUUUGUCUACCUUCUCGACUGGGUAACUUCAAUUUUUUAAUACAAUUGCAAGAAAUAGCAACACACUUUUCCUUUUUUUUCCAUAUAUGGGCGAUAUACUUUAUUUUUUAUACAUACUGGUUACCAUUUGAAUUUUUUUUCAACUUUUCUCUUAUGUGAUAAUAUUUGAAGAUUUGGCAGUUUUUUGCCACAUCAUCAUUGGUUGCAUACCACAUAAGCAAAUAAGUCAAUUCAAUUUCAAUCUGAGUUUAGCUCAUUUUUUCGAUUUUGGUUCAUGAAGUUUCCUUUUUUCAGUUUUCCUCCUUGUUUGUGGGUUUUCAUAAGGGUUUUGGUCCCUGAAAUUUCCUUUUUCACAGUUUUGGUCCUUAUUUGAGGUUUUCGUAAUGCAUUUGGUCCCCGAUCCAAAUAAAAUGACUAUAUUACCCUCCCUCAUAAUUCUCUUUGUAAAAUUUGAAAUAUAAUAAUAAUGCAAAACUAAAACUAAAACAAAUAACACAUAUCUAUAAAAAAAUCAGACAAAGGUUAGUAUAGUCAUUUUGCUUUAAGCAGGGACCAAAAGCAUUGCAAAAACAAGAAAUAAGGACCGAAAUUGCAAAAAGGAUACAUUAGGGACCAAAACCAAAAAAUGAGCUAAAUCAAAAACCAAAACUGUAGUUUCACUCGAAGCGAAAAAGUUGAAUGAAAACUCAAAUUCGUUAAAAACUGUUGUGUUUGGUAGAAAAUCACAAGUACAUUGCUAUUAUGGGUAAAAACUAAAGUAUAUUGUUCAUAUUUAUUACAAUGGGAAAGUACGUUGCUAUUUUCCAUUAUUUUUUAACGGGUAUUUCCCUUAAGGCCAAAAUUGAUAACUUUUGUUUGUAAUCAGGCGUAUGUUCUACAAGAGCAAGGGGGUCUCUUGGACUUAGUGGACGCAGGUCUUGUUAAAUACUCAAAAGACGAAGCAUUGAUGAUGUUAAAUUUGGCUAUCUUAUGCACGAAUAUAUCACCCACACUUCGCCCACCAAUGUCAUCAGUCGUCAAAAUGUUGGAAGGGAAAUUACCACUUCUACCCCCAGUGGUGAAACGAGGGGUGGGGAAUACUGACAUGAAGUUUAAAGCUUUUGACAUGAUGUCACAUGAUAGUCAAACACAAGUCUCAACUAUCUCAGCAGAUAGUCAAGGCCCCAGUCUCUGGAAUGAUACAUCGUUGUAUAAGGAUGAGACACAGGAGAGUACGUCUUCUGAGACGAAGCUUCUUCCUGAUCUUUAUGAAGUUUGAAUCCAUAAUUUAUUUCUUCAUUUAUACCUAUAUUGUACAUGUGUGAGUUGUACAAAAUAUGUUUAAAUUUUGGUUGUAGAUCGAUUAUCACAAUGUAAUUUUUGCAAAAUUUUGUUUAAAUUUGUCUCAUGGGCUAUGGUUUUUUACAUCAAUUAUGUAUAUAACUAAUCGCGUUAAAAAUAAUAAAACAGAAGACGAAAGAAUAGUCAUAAACAUAGCUUUUGAAAUGUUAACCGCAAAUUAAAAUACGACAACGACAGGACCGUGUGUUAAGCUCGUCUUUUAAUUUUAAAAUUAAAUGAAAAUUUUAAAUUGUUUUUAUUAAUUUCGUUGAAAAGUCAAAACUGGUCAAGAACGAUGUAUUUGAGACUUUGAGUUAGGUUAGUUGUUAGGAAGAUGAGAAGAUCGUUAAAGUUAACGGUAACGUUGCUGACAUGGCAAUAGUUUAUCUACCGACUCAAAUUUGACUCCCGUUAUCGUUAACAACUUGCCAUUUUGUUUAUGAUUAGUUGAUUACUGUAUUCCAUCUCUCUGCAAUUAAAAAACCCAACUGCAAUCGCCAUUUAUAGAAACCCAACUGCAGUCGCCAUUUAUCUUCCCGCCUCUCUCUCUCUCUCUCUCUCUCUCUCUCUCUCUCUCUGAGGAAGACGGAGAACUCUAGUCGGUGGAGGCGUUAUAAUGAUAAAAGGAAGUCGCAUUAUAGAGUCGUUUCUAUGGAAGAUGUCGGGAUUAUUCAACUUCUUCAUCCUUCUACUGUUCUUAUCGACGAGUCUUCGUGAUACCAGAUCCGCUGCUCAGCUUUUGCCUGAUAAAGAAGGUACGGUUUUCUUUAAUUUUUAAUUGAUCUCCGUUCAUCAACGUUUCUGUUGUUUUAGUCACUACUUAUAUAUUGUUCUGAAUGUUUGAACGAAUCUGAUGGUUCUCUUGAUUUUGACUUUGCAAUUUGCUUUUCGAGAAUAUUGAUUUCGGAGUAAAGCUUUAUUUGGAUUGUCGAUGAUAAUCGUUAUGUUAUCCAGUCUCUCUUUUACCUUUAUGGAAGUCGCUUAAACAUCUGUUUUUGUGCUCAUUGAACUGUAAAAGGAAGCUGUACGGAAUUGAUUUCAUGGUAAAGCAGAUAAAACCAUUUUUUUCCCAGAAGGUUACAAAAGUUUUGAUUACUUCACUGACUUCAUCGAAAAUACUUUGAUCUCUCCAAAAAGUUUUCCCAGAUUUGGACUUGACCACAUUUUAGCAAUUUACUUUAUAUAAAUUGUUAUAUAUAUAUAUNNNNNNNNAUAUAUAUAUAUAUAUAUAUAACAAUUUAGGGGGUGUUUGGCAUAGCUUUUCACAGCCAAAAGUCAUUUUUGUAAAAGAAAAAAUACAAAAAAAUAUUUGGCAAAUUAGUAACUUUUGGAAUUUUAAUACAAGGAAAAGCAUUUUUUUGGAAAAGUCAGGAUUUCCUGAUUUUUUUGUAACUUUUUGAAAAAGAACUUUUGAACUUUUAAAAGCUAAACCAAACACGCCCUUAGUCCUUUUCUACUUUGAUUCCUUUACUGCUUUUUUUUUUUUAUCAUCGACGAAAUAGUUAUCUCAUGUUCUACGGGGACUUGAAGGAGUUGGUUUAAAGGGCCCUUUCUCAGAUAGUUUGACUUUGACCAUAUGGCGUUUGGCCAGCUGGAUGCAUUUAAGGCUAGCCUUGAUAUAAAAAAAAUAAAAAUAAAAAGACAUAUUUGAUGUAUGUAGAUGUGCGGCUGAAUGGAUGUCGUUUUCUUUUCGUCAACCAUGCAAAAAUAUAUGUUUUUUUUUUUUCCAUAUAGCGUGUAUAAUUGACAUUUAUAAUUUAUAACCUACUUCUUGUGGGGAUUUAUUUCCACUUUUUUGAUAUAAUUUCAAUAUCGUUCGUUAUGAUCUUGAUCCAUUCCUCUAAACAGUUUAAAAAAUUAACAAGGAAGUUUGUUCUUUUCCACCAAUCUACAAACAUGUAUUGACCUUUUACCAAGUUUCUGAACAAUUCAACUUAUUAUGAAAGUUUGACAGCUAUAUGCAUGACUAAAUAAUAAAUGCCAGUUUAUAUAUAAUUCCCUUUUUUUUUGUUUGUAACAGUUGAAGCUAUGAGAGUGAUAGCCUCAAAGCUACAAAACACUAGGUGGAAUGUUUCUAGAGAUUCAUGCACUACAGGUGUAGGGCUACAACAGAUAAUUUCCAAUGAUACUAGAGCUGCAAGGAGACAUCUUAUGGAAGUUGGAAGCAAUGUAACUUGCAACUGUAACAUCACUAAUAGUACUUUUUGCCACAUAACAAACAUGUAUGCAUCUAUCUUUCUUUCUAUAACAUAUUCUAUUAAUUAAUUAUGUCACUAAUCAAUGUUUACUUGAUAUUUUCAAUACUUGUAUUAAAUUGUAGCCAGGUGAAAAAAAUGAACUUGAACGGAGUUUUACCUGAGGAAUUUGCAAAUCUCACUUUUCUGCAAGAAAUGUAAAUCCACCAAUCACCAUCAAUUUCUAAUUAUGUUAAAUUAAUAACUUUAUUACGCCCUAUGCUCCUUAAUAAAUGAAGGUUUUUUUGACACUUGUCAUUUUGUGGUAGUUUUGAAUAAAUGUUUUUUCUAUUUGUCAUUUUCUUAUUUUUUUUUAUCUUUCUUAAUUAACACAUCAUAUUUACACCUUAAUUAAUAAUUUCCUUAAUUGAAAAUACCCAAUAAAUUACAAUAUUACAACUCUCAUAUAGUAUUUAAUAUGUUUCCUUUUAAAUUCAAAUUUUAAAUUUCAAAUUUAAAUAAAUCUUUGUUUAAAACUUCAUAUUUAAUUUUUUUUGUUUUAUCCAACCCGUAUAAUAUACGGGUCUCACAACUAGUUGUAAUUAAUAUGAUACAUUUUUCAUACAUACAGAGAUCUGACUCGCAACUAUAUCGGUGGCCCUAUUCCCGCAAGAUUCAGCCAGCUUCCUCUUAUUAUUUUGUAAGUUACUUUUUGUUUCAAAUUUCCAUUUUUGCCCUUGUGAAUAUACUUUUGACACUGUAUUUUCCAUAGGAGUAUUGGGGGGAAUCGCAUCAGUGGUUCCAUACCUGCACAAUUAGCUAAUAUUUCUACACUUGAGGAACUGUAAGCAAAGAUUCUUGGUUUUCGUCUUUACCCUUUAAUCAUAUCAUAUGAGACCUUAUAAUGAAUUUACUAUUUUGACCUUUAAUUAGGGUCGUGGAAAACAACUUGCUUGGAGGACCGCUUCCUCCACAACUUGGACGCUUGUCUCGCUUGAGAAGAUUGUAAGAUUAAUUUAAUAUAUAAUGUUUAUAUUUUAAUGUUGUUAACAAGAUUUUUUUUUGUUUUUUUUUUAUUGCAGCGUUGCUUCUGCAAAUAACUUUACUGGAACUAUACCGGUUUCAUAUGGCAAUCUGGCUAAUUUAGAACAGUUGUAAGUCAUAGAUAUCUUUUAUUAAUUAUAGCGAGUCAUUAAAUACUAUAUAUAAAUUAUUUAAUCCUUUUUUUUUUUUUUUACAUUUCUUGCAGUAGGAUAGAUGGGAGUAAAUUAUCUGGGAGAAUACCUGAUUUUAUCGGAAACUGGAAAAAUCUCACAAUACUGUGAGUAUUAUUUUACUCUCUUUGUUUUCAUAAUAAAUUUUAAAACUUCAAUCAUAUAUAAUUUAUUUUGCAGUGAUAUGCAAGGAACGAGCAUGUCUGGACCCAUUCCUUCUACAAUAUCUCUGUUGAAAAAACUGAAAUCAUUGUGAGAAAGAGCACAUUAUUUUAUUUUUGUUAAAUUUUCAGUCACUAGUUUUCUGGUAAUAGACUUUAUUAACAUUGAACUUAUUUUAUAUCAGGAGGAUAUCUGAUUUGGCUGGAUCAUCGAGUUCACCAUUUCCUAAUCUGGAGGCUAUGACAAACAUAGAGGAUUUGUGAGUUGAUUAAAUAAUUUGUGUGAAAGAAAAUAAAAAGUGUGUUAUAAUACUUACAUAUAAUUUUGCUACAGGAUUUUGAGAAAUUGUUUGCUUACUGGCCCACUACCUGACUACAUUGAUGGAGGAUAUGACGAUUUAAAAAACAUGUAAGUCAGUUGCUAAUAGUAGUAUUCAUGUUAAGAUUAUUUUUUUGACACUUUGUGCGAUAGUUUUAUUGCUUAAAUUUUUGUCUGAACUGUUUUUUUUUAUUUGCAGAGACCUGAGCUUCAACCAGCUGAAUGAUUCAAUUCCCGAAUUAUUUCAAUUUAUAGACUUUGACACCUUGUAUGCAACGCAACUACUUCAUAAGAUGUUAUAAUUUAUUUCCUAUUUUAAUUUUGAGGUUAAAUUUUUUAUUUUGAGAUCUAAUAUUGUCCAUGUACGUAGGUUUCUAAAUAACAACUCGCUAUCCGGAGAUAUUCCACCAUGGAUGUUCACUCGCACAGACAAAAUGUAAGUGAUACCCAUGGCCUUGACUAUUAUUAUUAGACCAAAUUUCAAGACAAAAAUAAAAUAAAAAUAAAGUAAGUCUGUUGCUAUUAUGUUAAAAGAUUAGCACUAUGUUUAUUGCAGUGACUUAUCUUACAACAAUUUUGCAAAUAGUACACAGCAAACUUGUGGGUCAUCUAGAGUGUGAGUUUUCCUAUUCUAUCCUUCCGUUACCAUAUCAUAAUAUCAUUACUUUCUAUUUUCAUUGAUCACUAAUUAUAUAUACAUUAUUUAUAACAGGAAUUUGGUUUCAGCCUUGUCACCUUCAUCCCCUGCACCCAACAGGCAUGUCCCAUUUCAACCCGUUCACAUAAAACUUUUUCAACUGUUUACAAUGAUGUUACCUAACAUAUUAAUGAAUCUUUUAGAGAAAGUUGGUGUUUAAGAGACGAAAUUGGUUGCAGCAGAAGCCCCAAGUGUAAGAAAUUACUAAACAAAAACAACCCUUCCCUUUUUGUAACGUAUCUAAAUCUUGAAAUGUAUCUGAAAUUCCAGAUCAUUCGUUGUUUAUCAACUGUGGUGGAGAUAGCACAGUGUUUGAUGGAAACGAAUAUCAAAAAGAUGUAACCAACGAGCAAUCUUACUUCUAUUCUGAAUCGGAUGGAUGGGCUUAUAGCGCUAAUGGUGUUUUCAUGGGCAACAGUAGUGCCCCAUUUGUUGGAACCAAUACGGAUGUAAGAGAUGCUAAAAUAUACACAACAGCUCGCUUUUCUCCAACUUCACUUAGGUACUACGGAUUAUGUUUGAGGGAAGGAAGUUAUAAAGUGAGGCUCCAUUUCGCUGAAAUCAGUUACACAAAUGAUUCCACAUUUGCAAGCCUUGGAAGACGCUAUUUCGAUAUAUCAAUCCAGGUCAGUAACAAUAAUAACCCAAUUUUUUUUAUUGUAUAUUUUUAGUUAUGGAUUUAAUUUUGUUUUAUAGGGUGUUUUGGAACGGAAAGACUUUAAUAUUGUGGAAAAAGCUGGAGGAGUUCGAAUGGGGACCUUCCUAGAUUUUGAUAAUGUUACGGUUACUGGUAGCACGUUGGAGAUUCACUUGUACUGGGCUGGAAAAGGGACAACUGGCAUUCCGGAGCGAGGUGUUUAUGGACCUCUUUUAUCUGCCAUCGCAAUAACACCAAGUAAGUAAUAGUGUACUACUAUCCCACUGGGACAAAAAAUUGAAGAAUCGGGCCUAAAAGCAUGUGUAAAUUACUUAUUUGACCUUGUUGCAGACUAUAAAGUCAGUACAGGCGGGAUUUCUGCUGGAGCUAUUGCUGGAAUUGUGAUUGGUUCAUGCGCGUUUAUAGUCCUAAUUUUAGCUCUGCUUUGGUGGAGAGGCUAUAUUGGAGGAGACAAAGAAGAUAAAGGCAAGACACAAUAUACAUAAAAAUAAAUAAAAAAUUAUGUCUGUAAGAUUUUAUACAGUUCUAACUGCUUUCAAUUGUUGUAACAACAGAGCUUCGAGCGCUUGAAUUACAAACGGGGUAUUUCAGCCUGCGACAAAUUAAAUCCGCUACUCAUAACUUUGAUCAUGCAAAUAAGAUCGGUGAAGGAGGGUUUGGACCGGUUUAUAAGGUAAGUUUCAAAUGUGGCCUCUUAUUUGGGCAAAUUGCAGAAAAUAGUAAUAUUCCAUUUUUAUAUUUAUAUUUAAGUUUAUGCGUUUUGUUGAAUCACAGGGUGUACUCUCGGAUGGUUCUGAGAUUGCUGUGAAGCAACUUUCAGCCAGAUCAAAACAGGGAAACCGUGAGUUUGUGACUGAAAUAGGAAUGAUAUCUGCUUUACAACAUCCAAAUCUUGUGAAGCUUUAUGGUUGUUGUAUCGAGGGAAAAGAGUUGUUGCUUGUAUAUGAAUACCUCAUCAACAACAGUCUCGCACGUGCCCUUUUUGGUAAA